rnacentral:RNase_P_RNA from 1 species
UGAGCAGGACAGAUGGUCGCUGCCACAAGACCGAAAGGUUGUGGGAGAGGAAAGUCCGGGCUUCACAGGGCAGGGUGCCAGAUAACGUCUGGCGGAGGUGACUCUAGGGACAGUGCAACAGAAAUAUACCGCCGGCUUGCGCCGGUAAGGGUGGAAAGGCAGUGUAAGAGACUACCGCCUGGCUGGUAACAGGCAGGGCACAUGUAAACCCCACUCGAAGCAAGACCGAACAGAAAGCAUAAGGCGGCCCGUCUGCUUUCGGGUAGGUCGCUUGAACCAGGUGGCGACAUCUGGUCUAGAUAGAUGACCAUCCAACGACAUAACCCGGCUUAUCGUCCUGCUCAUUCA